rnacentral:lncRNA from 1 species
UGAAAUCAAUGGAUUCAUGUAGUCAGCCUCCAAGUGUCCAAACUGCUGUAACCAUUGGAAAUUGCCAAAUGCCCAGUCUAUCUUGCUAUACACUCUAGAGUCAGCAUCUUGCUUGUUUGUCCAAGUGAAAUGCCAUCCAGUUUCUCUUAAAGCUGUAAGUUGUAACUCAUCUAUUGUACUUUUGAAGUCCCUUACUUCAGCUUCAGUUACAGGAGAACCAAUUCUAUCAUCAGAGCUUAAUACACAAUUA